GGAGGGGUGGGGGGGGGGAGAGAAAGAGAGAGGGAGAAAGAGAGAGAGAGAGAGAGAGAGAGAGAAUCAAUAUCAAGAAUAGAAGGAGCUCCGAAGCCAUUUUUUUUUUUUUUUAAAGAAGUAUCAGGACUUGGGAAGAGGGUGACAAAAGAAGGUUUUUCAAAGAGGCAGUGGAGGAGGUUCUAAUAAAUUUGGAAGGAAACAGUUCCCUGUCUUGGGAAAAAAGGAGAACUCCUGGCUGAUUAGCAUUCACACCAGAUGGCUUUUAGGCCACAAAAACAGAGUGUACCUUGGAGUCAUCAAACUGGAAAAACAAUCAAGACCUGCUCAGUCCAUCUUCCCAGGGCCAGUGAAGGAUGGUGUGUGCAUCACGUCUAGUGUUUUGUCUAGUUUCUACAUAAAUACCUUAAAGGUCUUUGCUCAGCACCCAUGAGUUAAGCUUUAG
rnacentral:lncRNA from 1 species